rnacentral:rRNA from 1 species
UACGAAGGGGGGCUAGCGUUGCUCGGAAUCACUGGGCGUAAAGGGUGCGUAGGCGGGUCUUUUAAGUCAGGGGUGAAAUCCUGGAGCUCAACUCCAGAACUGCCUUUGAUACUGAAGAUCUUGAGUUCGGGAGAGGUGAGUGGAACUGCGAGUGUAGAGGUGAAAUUCGUAGAUAUUCGCAAGAACACCAGUGGCAGGAGGC